UUCCGGUUGAUCCCGCCGGACCUGACUGCUAUCGGAUUGAUACUAAGCCAUGCGAGUCAUUGUAGCAAUACAGGGCAUACGGCUCAGUAACGCGUAGUCAACCUAACCUAUGGACGGGAAUAACCUCGGGAAACUGAGAAUAAUGCCCGAUAGAACACUAUACCUGGAAUGGUUUGUGUUCCAAAUGAUUUAUCGCCGUAGGAUGGGACUGCGGCCUAUCAGUUUGUUGGUGAGGUAAUGGCCCACCAAGACUAUUACAGGUACGGGCUCUGAGAGGAGUAGCCCGGAGAUGGGUACUGAGACACGGACCCAGGCCCUAUGGGGCGCAGCAGGCGAGAAAACUUUGCAAUGUGCGAAAGCACGACAAGGUUAAUCCGAGUGGUUUCUGCUAAAGGAACCUUUUGUUAGUCCUAGAAACACUAACGAAUAAGGGGUGGGCAAGUUCUGGUGUCAGCCGCCGCGGUAAAACCAGCACCUCAAGUGGUCAGGAUGAUUAUUGGGCCUAAAGCAUCCGUAGCCGGCUCUGUAAGUUUUCGGUUAAAUCUGUACGCUCAACGUACAGGCUGCCGGGAAUACUGCAGAGCUAGGGAGUGGG
rnacentral:rRNA from 1 species